UGCACACACCUCCGUACCGGAGCAUCUGGGCUUCUCCUCUAAACAUGUCCGAACCAUCUAAGUCUCGCUUCCCGCAUCUUGUUAUCAAUGGGAGCCACAUGCACCUUCUCCCGGAUAUCAUCAUUCCUAAUCUUAUCUAUCCUAGUGUGCCCGUACAUCCACCGCAACAUCCUCAUUUCUGCUACUUUUAUCUUCUGGAUAUGUGAGUUCUUAACGGGCCAACACUCAGCCCCAUACAUCAUAGCCAGUCUAACCAUCGCUUUAUAAAACUUACCUUUGAGUAUCGGUGGCACUCUCUUGUCACACAGGAAUCCAGAUGCUAACCUCCACUUCAUCCAUCCUACCCCAAUACGGUGUGUGACAUCCUCGUCGAUCUUCCCUCCCCCUGNNNNNNNNNNNNNNNNNNNNNNNNNNNNNNNNNNNNNNNNNNNNNNNNNNNNNNNNNNNNNNNNNNNNNNNNNNNNNNNNNNNNNNNNNNNNNNNNNNNNNNNNNNNNNNNNNNNNNNNNNNNNNNNNNNNNNNNNNNNNNNNNNNNNNNNNNNNNNNNNNNNNNNNNNNNNNNNNNNNNNNNNNNNNNNNNNNNNNNNNNNNNNNNNNNNNNNNNNNNNNNNNNNNNNNNNNNNNNNNNNNNNNNNNNNNNNNNNNNNNNNNNNNNNNNNNNNNNNNNNNNNNNNNNNNNNNNNNNNNNNNNNNNNNNNNNNNNNNNNNNNNNNNNNNNNNNNNNNNNNNNNNNNNNNNNNNNNNNNNNNNNNNNNNNNNNNNNNNNNNNNNNNNNNNNNNNNNNNNNNNNNNNNACUCAUCAAUCAGAACUAUGUCAUCGGCGAAUAGCAUGCACCAUGGCACAUCCCCUUGAAUAUGGUGUGUUAACGCGUCCAUCACCAGGGCGAAUAAGAACGGACUGAGCGCAGAACCUUGGAGUAACCCCAUUACAAUCGAAAAAUGCUCAGAGUCGCCCGAUUACAACUGGAUCAGUUGGCAAUAAAUUUUACAUGAUAAUUAUAACCAGAUAUACUACCACAUGAAUGUGUUAGUUAUACGUAAUAUACGUGUUGGAUUCCUUUUUUUACAAGAAGGGCAAAUCUGGAUUGUUGCUACUAUGAUAAAUCUAGAACUUAAAGGGGAUGAUCAUAUGCAGGGUGCAAAAAAUGAUCGAAGAAAGUUGAUAAAAUUGGAAAUAAGUUUUACUAGAAGAAAUGUGAACGUGUUGAUCAUUCUGCUCUGAAAAGGUUUGACCAUAGUCUCUACUUAAUUAAAGAUUAUUAGAACAUAAAUUUAAGCUAAAAGAAGUUUUUAACUUAAAAAGGCUUUCAGAUACAAGCUUCAAGUUUGUGUAAUUGAUGGCACUGGCUCUAUUUCUUUGUUGCUUUGGGAUCGUGAGGCAACAAAACUCAUAGGAAAGUCUGUUGAUACCUUGAAAGAAGGUUUAGUAAAGGUAUGUUAUUUUAUUUCCAUUGUUUCAUAUUUUUUAGCACUUCUAAUACUAAUAUUGGUUUAGACUUCUGGUACUGCUUAUGAGUGUUCUCAUCCAUUGGAGAUUGAUGCUAUUUUGGAUUAAAAAAAUCAUGUUUAAAGUGACUGUUAAACCUUCCAACACUGAGGAGAAUGAUGAAGUUUAUACUGUCGUUAUGGUCAGCGAUAAUGAGGACCUUAUACAAAAAUAUAGUACGUCUUCAGAAGCAGAUAUCUUUACUAUAUGUGAUCUUUACUCAAAUUCCUCAUAAUAUAUAUUGAAUUGUGAGUUCAAUGCUAAAACUUAUUAUUAUUGAGUUAACCUUUCAACUAUGAUAUCAAUUUAGGAUCCAGAUUUUAAUAAUGAACAAGUCACAAGUGGAGAUACGAGAGACAAGGUGGUUAAUUUAUAGUUUCAUUAAAGAGCAUCUCAUCAUACAUUGACAAUGGUAAUUGAUUUUCUACUUUUGAUUGUAUCAACCUUAACUGUUUUACUUUUGUAGGAUUCUAUGGCUGAUAAUGAGAUGAUCUCUCCUAAAAAGACCCAUGCCAAGAGAACUAGAGACGAGGAUGGAGCAACCAUUGUAGAGGUUGAUGAAGAUGUGGGAAAAUUAUCAAGCAACGGUUUGCUUCUUCGUGCAGUAAUUUAUACAAUUGAGCUCAAAAAGUGAGGGUUGCCUCAUGCUUAUAUAUUUCUCUUUCUUCAGGAGCAUAAUAAAUAUCCAACUGCUGGUGAUAUUGAUAAAAUAAUAACAGCAGAAAUAUCAGAUAAAACAGUUGAUCCGCAUUAUUAUAAGGCCAUGAAAAGUUUUAUGAUGCAUGGCCCAUGUUGUUCUGCUGGAAAAUCUUCUCCUUGCAUGCCGAAUGGGAGAUGUGCAAAGCACUUUUCAAUUAAGUUUAUUGAAUUAAUCACAAUUGAUGAAGAUGGCUAUCCUAUUUAUAGGAGAAGUGAUAAUGGAAGAACUAUCAAGAAGGAUGGUAUUGACUUGGACAAUAGGUAUGUGGUGCCGCACAAUCGUUUCUUAUUAUUGAAAUAUGGUGCUCACAUCAAUGUGGAGUGGUACAAUCAAUCGAGAUCAAUUAAAUACUUAUUUAAAUAUGUUAACAAAGGAAAUAAUCGUGCCACUGCUGUUUUUUCUAGAAGUGUGCAAGAGGAGGGUUCAUCAGUUGUUGAUGAAAUUAAUAUGUUCUAUGAUUGUCGAUACAUAUCACCUUGUGAAGCUGCUUGGAGAAUAUUCAAGUUUCCUAUCUCACUAUAGACAACCUUCGGUGGAAAGACUAUCAUUUCAUCUUCCAAAUGAACAACAUGUCAUAUUCUCUGAUGAUGAUCCAAUUGAUGAUGUUGCCAGUAGACCCACCGUAAGGGAAUCGAUAUUUUUAAGUUGGUUUGAGACAAAUAAAACUUGUUCUGAAGCAAGAGAAUUAACUUAUACAUAAUUUUCCCUUAAGUUUGUGUGGAAACCAAAGUUGAAAAUAUGGGAGAAAAGAAGUACUUCUGCAUGUUCAAUUGGAAGGAUUUUCUUUGUUCCGCCUGGAAUUGGCGAGCUAUACUACCUCAAAUUGUUGUUGAAUGUCCAAAAUGUUAUGAACAUUUUAAAAGAAUCAACAAUCAUGAUCAUCUUACAUUUAGAGAAGCAUGUUAUGUACUUGAUUUAGUUGACAAAGAAUAUGUAGAUUGCAUAAAGGAGACAAGUAGUUGCGGUAUACGAUCGUAUCUUAGGCAAUUAUUUUCUAUGUUGUUGUUAUCGAAUUCGAUGUCAUGACCAGAAAAUGUUUGGCAAGCAACAUGGCAAUUAUUAUCAGAAGAUAUCCUACAUAAAGAAAGAGUCUUAAUGACUAAUCCAGGUAUGUCCAAACUUAUAUUUUCAGUUAUGAUAUUUUUACAUAAUUUCAGUGUGCAUAUGAGGAUAUAAAUGGAUUAUUCAGCCGUAGAUAAUUAAAAUAUAUACUUACAAAGAGAAAACAUUAUUUUCGUCUAGACAAUGUCUUUGUCAGUUCCCACCAUGCACAUAAUGCACAAAAAUUGCAUCCACCUGCAUGAGUUAAAAAGGAAUGCUUGCACUUAUAGUACAAAGACUAAUGGCAUGAGUUACUGCCUUACUGGAAUUGCAUUUAGACUUAAUUAUAGUACAAUGACUAAUGACGUGAAAUUGUUUACACAUUUCAGUUUAAUUAUGAUUGUUAAUAUUGUUUUUUUCUUUGGAGUAUAGAAUUUAUGUGGUUUAAGUUUUCCUUAAUCUAAAGUACAUACACACGCUUUAAAUCAUUUGCAGAAAAGAGAAAUGUUAAAAAUUGUCUUAAUUCAUAUCAGUUAAAUUAGAUAGUAUGUUUUUAACUAUACAACUAACUGAAUGUUAUUGGUAUAGAAUAUAACAUUCAUAAGUCUAAACCAUAACUACAACUAACUAUAACUUGAGUAAAAAUUAAUUAACUUGUAUUUUUUUUAUAUAAUCAUAUAAUAUCUUUUAUAUAUUAUAGCUAUUCAAGUUCUGUAAUAUUUAUAUUUUUUCAGAGGCGGAGCUCAGGGGCGGCCCAACCCUAAAGCAAGUGAAAUACUUGCUUUAGACCCCAAAUAUUUAAGGGCCCCAAAAUUACUAGUAUUUUUUUUUAUAUAUAGUAGUAUAUUAUUUAUAUAAUUAUCAUUUAUAAUUGAUAAAUUUAUUUAUUUAUUGUCAUAUUAAUUUUUAAUAACUCGAUUUCUUCCUCUAAUUAAUAUAACUAAAAUAGUUUUCUGUCAAUCUUUUUUUAGUUAAUUAUAUUUCUCUAUUCAUUAGUUGGUCACGUAAUUAUAUCUAAUAAUCUAACUUAUUAUUUAUUUUCCUUACAUAAAUUAUACUCUCUCCGUCCCAAUAUAUAUGAAAGUGUUUAACUGGACAUGUAUUUUAUGAAAUAAAGGAAGGCUUUUGAAACUUGUAAUCUUAAAUAAAUCAUAGAAGUUUUUGGGCUAGAAAUCAUCUCAUUAAUGGUAAAAAUAUAGAAAUGGACUUACUAAAAAAAAGGAGUCACUUAUGUUUUCUGGGUUCUCCCAUUUCAGUUGUGAUGUAAUCAACGUUAAAUUCAUUUAAUUUUCUGUAUUUUAUAAAACUAAGUUCUUAUUUUUUUUAAUUUCACAUCCUCACUUGUCUAAUUUUUUUAAAAACGAUGUUCAUUAAAUUUUAUAUAUAUAUAUAUAUUAAGGCCUCUUAUUAAGAUUUUGCUUUAGGCCUCCGAUGAGGUUGGGCCGCCCCUGACGGAGCUAACAGAUGAUGAAUUGCAAAAUCGUUGCUUACAAAAGUUGGAAGGUUGCGGAAGAAGUUUUCUGGAUUUUCCAACAAUGCCAAUACCUCUUUAUAGUGAGGGAGAAGGUGCCUUUAGCAAUCGAUUAAUUCAUGAUGAAUUGCGUUAUAACAGACGCUCGAUGUUAGAGGAACAUCAACAAUUAUUAAUGAAUUUGACGGCUCAACAAAAGUCAGAUUAUGAGAAAAUUAUGGCAGCAGUGGAAUGGAUGAAGCCAAAGGUGGAUUGUUCUUUUUAUAUGGUUAUGGAGAGACUGGUAAGACAUCUAUUUGGAAGACUCUAUCUUCGGGUAUACGAUCUCGAGGAGAUAUUGUGUUAACUAUUGAAUCAAGUGGGAUUGUAUCUCUUUUGUUACUGGGAGGUCGAACAACGCAUUUGAGAUUUGCAAUUCCUCUCAAUCCAAUUGAAGAUUCAACAUGCAAUAUAAAGCAAGGUAGUCCUCUAGAAAAAUUGAUCGUUAAGGCAAAGUUGAUUAUUGGGGACGAGGCACCGAUGAUGCAUACAUACUGUUUUGAAGCUCUUGAUCAAACUAUUAGAGAUAUUCUUAGAUUUAAAGACACAUCCAGUCUAGAUCGACCAUUUGAAGGUAAAAUAAUUGUUCUUGGAGGUGACUUCAAAUAAAUUUGCCAGUCAUUACAAAAGGUACUCGGCAAGAUAUUAUUAAUGCUACUCUAAGCUUUUCAUAUUUAUGGCCCCACCGUGAAAUAAGGAAUAUGAGAUUGCAAGGAAAUCAGUUAGGACCAUAUUUAGGUGAGUUAAAAGAAUUUUCAGAUUGCAUUUUGGCAAUUGGUGACGGAGGAAUUAGAAGUUCUGAUGAUGGCAUUGAAAAUGUUUGAAUCUCCGAUGAUCUUCUCAUACAUAAUUGUGAUGAUCCAAUAUCUGCAAUUGUAGAAAGUACUUAUCCUGAUUUCUUUAACCAUUCCAAUGACAUAGAGUACCUCCAGCAAAGAGCAAUUUAUGCUCUGACUCUUGACAUGGUGGAAUCUAUCAAUGAAUAUAUGAUUUCACUCAAUCACGGUCCCGAUACAUUUGAGUUAUGAUACAUUUUGUAUGUCUGAUCAUGCUUUUACAGCUUCUGGAGUUCUAAAUCACUCUAUUACUCUAAAGGUUGGUGUUCUUGUGACAUUACUGAGAAAUAUAACAUCGAGAUUAUGCAACGGUACAAGGUUGAUCAUCACAAGACUUGAAAAUCGGGUUAUUGAAGCCAAGAUUUUAUCAAGUAAUAUGGCCGGAGAAAAAGUGGUUAUUAUAAUAAUGACGUUGACUCCAUCUGAUGCGAGAAUACCUUUUAAGUUCCAGCGAUGAUAAUUUUCAAUUGUGGUGGUCUUUUCCAUGACAAUUAAUAAAAGUCAAGGCCAGUGAGGUUAUUUUUGAAGAAAUCAAUGUUUACACAUGCACGGUUGUAUGUUGCUCUUUCGCGGGUGACAAGUAGAAAAUGGUUAAAGGUUUUAGUUUAUGAUGAUGAUGGACAAAUAACAAAUAAAGCUAGAAAUAUAGUGUACAAAGAAUUUUUCGUAAUUUAAUUUAAUACAUUAUUAAAUAAUUUAUCAUUUAAUUAUUCCGUAGUAUUAUUGUCUUCUGAUCCUUUGGUCUUAUGUAUCAUUUUUUUAGUUAAUAUUUUAAUUUGAUAUAACGUAAGAAGAUGUAAUCUGCAGUUGAACUCUGAACAAAUAGUUCUGUAAACAAUAAACAAAGAGAAAUUGAAACCUAUUUGCCAUAGAUAGUGACAGUAGCAGUAAUAAAUUGGAUGAUAGCAUUUAUUCUGUGUGAAACUUCUAAUUUUACUGCCUAAACUUACUUGCAUUUUAGCGGUCUUGAAAUGGGGUAAUUGUGGUCCAAUUUUACUGCCUAAAAGGGCUUUUUGUUUCCGUGGCAGUUCACCAGAAGCGAUAGAUUUCCAUUUUUCCAGCGCCUCACUCAUAAAAUCUUAAAGCCAAUUAAGUAUUGGCUUACUAUAAUCUACAGCAGCAGAUGCCUCCACAAGGAAAUAGCUCGAAAGAUCAUUCUGGCCUGUCUUCUUCAUUAUCUCAUCAGUAAUACAAUAUAUGUUGUCUCUUGUUUUCGUAAAAAAUUGUCGACCAAGGACAAAAAAUUCUUGAUUUUUUACCCAUGUCUUUUUGUAAUGAUAAACCUCAAUACAGAGGACAACUUCUGAAAAAUGCACCACAAUAUGUCCAUGAGCAUUUGCUACAAUAAUGUUCCCUCAAACACAUGUUUUAUAUCAAGCAAAUUGUAUAGCAUCAUUAUUUUUUAUGGAACAUUGACUUUGAAAAUGGAAUAAAAGUUUUACUGGAGUCUCAAAAGAGUUUUUAAUGUUUGAUUAUAAAGAAGACAUUAACCCUAACAAAUUAAAUUUAACGGUGUAGAUCGUUGUUUUUAAUUAUCCGCGCAUCAUGAGGUACUAAUACUAGGGAAGGAAUUAAUAGAUAAGUAAAAGAUUUAAAAUUGACACGGUUAAAUGCUUUCUUAACUAGUAAAUUAGCAAAUACUCGUGAAAUAUGUUACUUCCACUCCAAGCAAUGCGUUACGUUAAAUUAGCAAUUCUUAAUAUAGUGGGUCAAAUGAGUAGCUUUUUCAAGUGCAAGCACUAGUCGUUUAAAAUUAUCUUUUGAAGUCACAUAAUAUUUGAAAGAUUGCUUCUGAAAUAUUGUUUAUGAGAAGUUAAUUGUAUACAAAAGAUACUAAAUUAAAGCAUAAUCACUAUUUUAUAAAUAUUUCAAUCAAAGUAUAUGUAUUCAUUAUGAAUAGCAGAUAUUAGAAAAUUAAGUAAAUAAUUAUUACAUAUUUUAUAUGAAAAACAUGAGAUGAACAAUUACGUAAAAGAUUAAAUUGUAAUAAUAUGGAGAGAAACAACAAGCAAUAAAACUUAUUGUUAGUGUUAUUUUUUAAGUUUCGAAAAAUAUUAAAGCAGUUAGCAGUAUGAGAUCGAUUUAAAAAACUUUUAGUUUUCAAUCUUAAUUCGAACAUCAAUUUAACACUUUAUAGUAAAAUUCAUAAAAUUAAGAACCAGGUAAAUAGUACUCUAAAUUACAAUUUAUAAAUUUUUAAUAAAUAUAUAAAUAAGCAAAAAAAUCAAUAUUUAAAUAUUUAAUAAAAGAAAGCUAUUUGUAUCUUUAAUAAGUAUAAUAUUUAAAAGUUCAUGUUUCUAUUAUUGAAAUAAUUUUAUUGAAUUUGAUUUAUCUCAAAAGGAAAAAAACAAUCUUUGUAUUAUUACUCAUUUUCUUUUCCAAAACAAUCACCCUUUUUUUAUUUUCGAAAAACAAAAUAAAACUAAUAUUUCCAAAGAAAAGGAGGAAAAAUCCAGCGGAUAAACAACACACAACGGUGUACGUGGCCCGUUGGAUUAUAUAUAUAAAAAUAGAAGGCCUUACUUCAGCACGUCGAGGCGGGGUCAAAAACCCUAGAUAUUUAUCAACACGCACACCCACACAAAGACACACACAGUAAUCUCUACCUUCUGAUCGCUAGAUUCGUAUCCCUUAGCAGUAUACUCCCGAGGUAUUUUCAGUUAUAUUCUCUAUGUUAUUAUGCAAAUUUCGCAUUUCCUUUUCUCUUUUACACAAAUCUUGUACUGUUAGGCUAUUACAUCUCUUAUUGAUAUGAAUGGAUCUCCAGAAGGAUACAUAGGAUCUGACUCUAACUAUUUAGGAUUGAGGUGUAGUUAUUGUAGUUCCAUAAAUCUCUGAUUUUCAGAUCUAUGUUUCUUCGCGGAUCUGUGCCCUUUGUUCUUUAAUGUAGUUUGAUAAGUGUAUUAUGUGUGUUUGUCUUUAUCACAAUUACAGUAAUAAUUAAAGAAAAAAGAAAUUUCUAGAAUUGACUGCUUUUCAGAGCUCAUGAAUUGGUCACUUGUGUAUAGGCUCAGACACUAUGUAAUAUUUACUUGCGUGUCUUUAUGGUUCCGCGAGGAAUAGCAUUUAGUCUACCAGGAACUGUUGUCACAUGCAUCCAAGUUUAAUGUUUUGUUGCUAUCAGAAUCUCUAGGAAAUCCUGCUGAUGUAGAAUGUUUUAUCGAGCAUGCUGUAUCAGGGCAACAUGCUGAGUAUUUGAGGGAAUAUGGCAUGAAACUCAAUGAAAGUUGACUGAAUGUAUAUUUUUCCAAUAAGCAGCUUAAUUGUAUCUCCAAGCUUUUAAUUUUUGUUUCUUAGGUUGGGUUGGGACAAGGUUAUGGGUACUUGUGCUGAUGUGAGACUAUUUUCUAUCUGAAUUGUUACAAGUUUUAGUAAUUGGAUUUACUCUUUAUGGAUUUAUGACUUCUGAUGCAAUUUUUCAAUGAUAAACAGUGUUUUGUCCAUAUUUUGUAAUGGCUGGUCGACGGGAUAGCUAUGGGAAGCGGUCUCAUUCUCAGUCAGACUAUAGUGAAAAUGGGGGAAAUAAAAGGAGAAGUACUAGAAACGAUAAGGAUCCUUUCUCUAUUGGCCCGGAUGAUACAGUAUACCGUUACUUGUGCCCAAUAAAGAAGAUUGGCAGUAUCAUAGGUAAAGGAGGGGAAAUUGUUAAACAAUUAAGGGUGGACACUAAAUCAAAAAUCAGAAUUGGAGAGACAGUACCUGACUGUGAUGAACGCGUUGUCACCAUCUACAGUUCAAGUGAAGAAACAAAUGAGUUUGAUGGUUCUGAAGAUCGUGUUUGUCCAUCUCAGGAUGCCCUUUUCAGAGUAUAUGAUAAAAUUGUUAAUGAUGACACUAUGGACGAGGACUCUGAGGAAGCACCACAGGUUACUGUUAAGCUUAGNNNNNNNNNNNNGUUAACUGUCUGAUUUAUAAAUAUAUAAAGGGAUAAAUCAUACUGCACUUCUGUUUCUCUCCACCUCUUGAAAUUUAUUUGUGACUGCCCAAGUUGCAUUGUUACACAGACAUACAUUUGGAUGGCUCAGUUUCUUUAGUUAUAAAUGUAUGGCCAAUUUUCUUAGUAGUCAUCUGUUGAUCAUGUGGGACUCAAUUUUCUAUCCUAUUGCUCUUAGCCAUGGGAAUUUAAAAAUAAGUUUAGCUGAAAUAAUGUCACUGCUCAUCUGGUUGUUGGUUACUUGGAUUUAGAUAUCUGGUGAAGUUGCUGUAGUGAGGAAGGCUCUCUAUGAAAUUGCAACUCGUCUUCACAAUAAUCCAUCCCGUUCUCAACACAUGCUAGCCUCCGAUGCACCAAACGUUUACUCAUCGAGCAGUUCACUUAUAGCUCCUGCUGGUGGUGCUCCAAUAGUGGGAAUAGCUCCACUAGUGGGGCCGUAUGGGGGUUACAAAGGGGAGAGUGGUGACUGGUCGAGGUCUUUCUACUCAGCUCCAAGGGAUGAAUCAUCUUCAAAGGAAUUUUCUCUUCGUUUAGUGUGUCCAUCUGCAAAUAUCGGGGGUGUUAUUGGCAAAGGUGGUGUCAUAAUAAACCAAAUUAGACAAGAAUCUGGUGCAGUGAUCAAGGUUAAUAGUUCUAAUACUGAAGGCGACAAUUGUGUGAUUUCUAUUUCUGCAAAAGAGGUAAAUGUUUUCUAUUUAAAUGGAUGUUCAUCAGAAUAUGCAACUUGAGGAUCUUUGUCCACUUAGUAAAGAUGUAUUUUUAUGCUUUGUCUAGUUUUUUGAGGACACAUAUUCUCCCACAAUUGAAGCAGCAUUGCGCUUGCAACCAAGGUGCCGUGAGGAAGUGGAACGGGAUUCAGGUCUUAUAUCAUACACCACAAGGUUGCUGGUUCCAGCAUCUCGAAUUGGCUGUCUUAUUGGGAAAGGAGGAUCCAUAAUUAAUGAGAUGAGGAAAAUCACGAAAGCUAAUAUUCGUAUUCUCUCGAAGGAAGACCUUCCGAAGGUUGCAGCUGAAGAUGAGGAGAUGGUACAGGUAAUUAUUCAUUGUUAAUACUAAUUGGGUAUUUUAAAUAUGUAAGGAUAUCCCCCACUGAUUAAAAGGAAAAAAGGUCAGUGAUUUCCCCUCCCGCUUGUAAAACCAGCUACUGGACUAUGAAUAUACAAUAUGAAUGAGGUGUCUUUGAUUAUCACAAAAAAAAAGAAUGAUGGGCUUUUGAUGUAGAUGUUGGACACUUUGAUAGCCAUAGAUUGCCUUUGAUCCAUUUAUGUUCAUGGUUAGUUUUGGGGAAAGGGGCCUGGCAUGAACGGAACUAUUGUUUCAGAGGGUCUUUUCCCCUGUUUGUUUUUCCCGAUUGCUGUGUUGUACCUGCUGUUCCACAAAAUUAAACCUCCAAAAAGAGAAAGAAAGAGGCGGAAAGAUCAUGCCAAUGUGAAAAGACAAGGAUGCUGAUGCAAACAUUUCUUCUUCUUUAUGGUCCUUAGUAGUUCCUUUUCUUUCUUAUUAUUCCUGUCUAUAUUAUUAUACUGAUUCUCCUCGUUUUCUGUAAUUUAUUUAGGAGCUUCUAUCUUUAUGCUUGUUAUUUUGCUUUGAAUAACUUACUCUAAGGACCAUAUUGCUUUUCAUUUUUCUUAACUGAACCUAGUUAUAUACUUCCAACAUUCAUCAGAUAUCAGGAGAUCUUGACGUGGCAAAGGAUGCACUCGUACAAGUAACUUCACGUUUAAGGGCAAAUCUUUUUGAAAAAGAGGGGCCCAUGUCUGCCUUUGUGCCAGUUCUUCCCUACCUCCCCAUGUCAACGGAUUCAGAUACCUUGAAAUAUGAAAACAGAGAUACUAGGAGACAUGCACGUGAACAUUCCUACUCAACUGGGUAUGGUGGUGCUAGUGAUCUUCCACAUGCUGAUGGUUUUGGAAGUUAUGGUACUCUCCAGGUAAAACUUUGUUUCAUUGAUUAGUGCAAAGGAGUUUUUGGGAGUUGCAGUGUUCUCCAGAAGUUCUGUCAUUUGUUUCUUUCGGCUAGCUUUCUACUACUUUUGCGGUGCAGCUCUUGUUAUUAAUUUCUAAUUCCAUUUGCAGAGUAGUAGUAGUAUAGGGUAUGGGGCAUAUGAAGGAUAUUCCCCUGCUUAUCCAAAAGAAGGAUAUUCCCCUGCUUAUCCAAAAGAAGGAUAUUCCCAUGGGCGUUCCAGUGGAUCUGGGUGAGUUCUUCUUGCCUUCCCUUCGCCAGUCUUGAGUAGUUUUGGUUUCCUAUGUAAUGGUGAUACUGUUAUCAUGCUGCCUCUAGAUUUUCUUGAAAGAAAAACAAGCACAAGAUCGUAGUUUCAUUAUUUCUUGAAUUGUAUGCUUUUCAAGAAGCUAAAUGUUUUGACCUUAUAUUUGGAUCUUGCAUGUUUACGUCUGACCUAAUGGUUGGUGAGUUUGUUCUGCCCUUUCUUGCAGAGGAUUUCUUAUUUAGCUCGUCUACUUUCAACUGCUCUAAAGAAUUCAAAGUUGCUUCUCUUUCUUAUUCAUUAUGUUGAGUUUAUGUUACCAGGUCAUCAAGGCAAAACUCUGCCUCCCGGAGAAAAAGUUAUGGUUAUUAGAGCUUGUAACAGGACCACAGGUAGCCCAUGAAUAUUGGCUCUAUUGCAUUGAUUUUUUAACUCGAGUAGCUGGUUUUAUAUACCUAGCCCGGCUCAUACAAAAGUAAUACACAGUUUGGUAUGAUGACCUAACCUAUCUUCCAAUUAUGAAACUAAUGAUAUUCUUUUCCCUUUGUUUCCUUUCCCUCGCUACAAACAGCCGAGAUAUCUGAAGCCUGAAGCCAGCCUACUGUCACCUUUGAUGAAGCCUCAUGCCUAAACCAGAUGACCAGAUGAAUGCGGAUAUCGAAUCCAUUGCCUUCCUUGAUGUUUUCCUUAGGAGGACCAUGUCCGAAGAUCUUACCUACUAUCAAAAUUGCCAAGACCUGACACCAUAUAUUUCCGAGAUCAAACUCUUGUGCUUCCAAGAACCUGUGUAGCCUGCGGCCUCAUCCUUUCUUCCCAUUUGUAGUUGUACUAUAGAUGAAUUUAACUGUCAAAUCUCGGCCAUGUGUCCUGUUGUCUUGUUUUCAGUUUAUUGUUAUUUGUAUGAAUCUACUGUUAGUUGGAUUUCCUAUUUGAUGCUAUAGAUGCUAGACCUGGUGGAGAUUUCUAAGUGUUCUAGUUUUGAUUAUGAUGCAAUGUUGGGAAAUGAGCCCUUUCACAAUAUCUUCAGAAGUAUUGCUACGUUACUAGAAAGCCUACAUGUUUCUUCAUUAUCUGCGAUAAUGUUCAAUCAUGAUUUUUCCUGUGUGUCCUUGUCAUUUUAUUGGCAAAAGUAUCUUGCUAAAAGUAGAUUGCUCUUCUGAAGAGGAUGUCGUGGUUAUGGAAUGUGCAUACAGCUUAAGCUACAUGGGUGCCUGCAGUUCUCUGUAGACACUGGAUCUUCAUUGCUGUGAUUAGUAGUGCUAUAUGUUUCAGUAAUGCCAAAACGCAGUGAUAUUCACUGCCAAUCAAUGUGGAAUCUGAGCUUUUGGGAGUACUGGUUGGAAUUAACUGAAGCAGGUAUAUAUCUGAUGGUAAGUCUCAAUAUUCUUUUUAUUGCAAGCUUUUGUUAUAUGAUUUAUGUGCAAGCGCUGAUAUUAUUGCAAUGAAUCAGCAUGUUUGGUGGAAUUUACUCAUGUAUGCAAAAGUAGGUACUCAUAUUUUCUCUGCAUUUGUUUGGUGAUAAUGUUGUUUCAAAAGUGUCGGCUCUCAUCUGAAGUUAAACCAUCUCUUCUUUGUUCCCUUUCAUACUGUUUUUGGAUACAGUUAGUAUGCUUCAUUUGCUGAUGCCUUUAUUAUUGCUCCUAUCAUGCAAUGCUCCAUUGUUUGUCCUUUCUUCUUGAGAGUGGUGGGGGUUGAGUUGGAGGGUCGGCUAUGUCUUGAAGAAGGGUGGUUGAAUGAUAUGAUGAGAGGAUACUUAAUCAAUCAUGGGGUGUGAGAAGUCGAUCCUGAGUUGAGUUGAUCUCAUAUAAGUACGUGCACCAAGUUGAGGCUUUAGUAGGAGAUUGAUUUCCUACAACUAAUCAUGCGAAGUUAGAAGUUGCUCUCCUAUUGCAUAGAAUAUAGAGUUCUAUAUAAUUUGUCAUGUGUUAUCUUUCUUCCUUCUCCUUGCCGACCCCCCCCCCCCCCCCCUAUAUAAUUUGUCAUGAGUUAUCUUUCUUCCUUCCCCUUGUUCCCCCCCCCCCCCCCCACCAACCAACACACAUCAACAACAAAACAAACCACCAACACACAGUUCUUUAAGCCCCCUGGUGGAAAUCACAGUUGGAACUUUUCUAGACAGUCGACUCACUUGAUUAUUGACUGGAAUUACAACAGGUGCGGUAAAUUACCCCUCAUAUGAGCCAGUUGUGUCUUAGGGUGGUAGAUGUUUUUUUUAAUAUUUUGAUAUGUUUGAUGUAUUCAUUAGUUAUUUGUAAUACAACCUUUUGGAUGGUAAUAUUUUUUGUUUCCGCUAGAGGCCAAAUGACAACAGUAUCUAAUUACAGCACAUUAUCUAUGUCAGAA
rnacentral:lncRNA from 1 species